GUAACUUUAUUUGUUGACCCACUUUGCUUUAGAGCUUACGUGAUUCUGAAGCCCGAGUUCUCCUUCCCUCUGUCCUACUAUCUCAUCCCCUUCACUGGAGUAGUCAGCAUGAUCAUCAUUGUCAUGGUCAUCAUACUGAUUGUGCGGUGCGUGCAGCACAGGAAGAGACUUCGG